rnacentral:lncRNA from 1 species
CCUCCGGCGGGUACUUGGGGCUACGGAGGUUUGGUUCGUAUACUGCUAAAAUUGUACGGCAGAUACGUGGAACUGGUUCGAAUUCCUCGUAGGUAGCUGUUGGCCACGUAUCACUGUCGUCAUUGCCGGUGUAUGUGCAGCGUUUCCAUGCCCAACGGAUACAACCUUAAUUUUCUUAAAGAGCUUUUUGAGAUGGUAGAGUCUCGUGCUGAUAACGUGUUAUAUGGCGGGUACUUGGGGCUACGGAGGUUUGGUUCGUAUACUGCUAGAAUUGUACGACAGAUACGUGGAACUGGUUCGAAUUCCUCGUAGGUAGCUGUUGGCCACGUAUCACUGUCGUCAUUGCCGGUGUAUGUGCAGCGUUUCCAUGCCCAACGGAGACAACCAAAAACCAACACGCAUUCAGCACCACAAGCAACUGACAUCAGUCACCGUUGUGUGACCUUAAAUGAUACUCAACUUUUUUGCAAGGAAACAAAGGCGACUCAAUAAAAUUAAUGACAUCAAGCCAAUCAAUGCAACUGAACUCUUGUCAUAAAUGUCAAAUUGCUUUUGGUCUUUUCGAAAGGAAAGUUGGGGAAGUGGCUGGAGGUUUCAUGUGUGUGAGGAUUGGCUGGAAAAAUUGGUUGACUGAUAUUUUAUUGGAAUGACAGAGACAUGAAGGAAAGUGUUGUAUACUGUAUAUUACAGAGAGGAUUUAGAUUCUGGUUCUUGUCUUAAGGUCUAAGUAUGUGUUUUUCCUUUUCUUGAUUUUUGUAUGAAAAGUUUGAAGUCUUCUGCUGCAUCAUUGUUGGUUGGUGAUGAACCGUCGAGUAAAUUAAGUUUUGCCUUCGGCAUUG